CCUACGGGUGGCAGCAGUGGGGAAUAUUGGGCAAUGGGCGCAAGCCUGACCCAGCAACGCCGCGUGAAGGAAGAAGGCUUUCGGGUUGUAAACUUCUUUUCUCAGGGAAGAAGAAGGUGACAUUACAUGAAGAAUAAGCGGCGGCUAACUACGUGCCAGCAGCCGCGGUAAUACGUAGGUGGCAAGCGUUAUCCGGAUUUGGUGGGUGUAAAGGGGGUGCAGGCGGGAUUGUAAGUCAGAUGUGAAAACCACGGGCUCAACCUGUGGCCUGCAUUUGAAACUGUAGUUCUUGAGUACUGGAGAGGCAGAUGGAAUUCCUAGUGUAGCGGUGAAAUGCGUAGAUAUUAGGAGGAACACCAGAGGCGAAGGCGGUCUGCUGGACAGCAACUGACGCUGAUGCGCGAAAGCGUGGGGAGCAAACAGGAUUAGAUACCCGAGUAGUC
rnacentral:rRNA from 1 species